rnacentral:rRNA from 1 species
CGUACAAGCAGUGGGAGCCUACUUUGUUGGGUGACUGCGUACCUUUUGUAUAAUGGGUCAGCGACUUAUAUUUUGUAGCAAGGUUAACCGUAUAGGGGAGCCGUAGGGAAACCGAGUCUUAACUGGGCGAAUAGUUGCAAGGUAUAGACCCGAAACCCGGUGAUCUAGCCAUGGGCAGGUUGAAGGUUGGGUAACACUAACUGGAGGACCGAACCGACUAAUGUUGAAAAAUUAGCGGAUGACUUGUGGCUGGGGGUGAAAGGCCAAUCAAACCGGGAGAUAGCUGGUUCUCCCCGAAAGCUAUUUAGGUAGCGCCUCGUGAACUCAUCUUCGGGGGUAGAGCACUGUUUCGGCUAGGGGGCCAUCCCGGCUUACCAAACCGAUGCAAACUCCGAAUACCGAAGAAUGUUAUCACGGGAGACACACGGCGGGUGCUAACGUCCGUCGUGAAGAGGGAAACAACCCAGACCGCCAGCUAAGGUCCCAAAGUCAUGGUUAAGUGGGAAACGAUGUGGGAAGGCAUAGACAGCCAGGAUGUUGGCUUAGAAGCAGCCAUCAUUUAAAGAAAGCGUAAUAGCUCACUGGUCGAGUCGGCCUGCGCGGAAGAUGUAACGGGGCUAAACCAUGCACCGAAGCUGCGGCAGCGACGCUUAGGCGUUGUUGGGUAGGGGAGCGUUCUGUAAGCCGUUGAAGGUGGCCUGUGAGGGUUGCUGGAGGUAUCAGAAGUGCGAAUGCUGACAUAAGUAACGAUAAAGCGGGUGAAAAACCCGCUCGCCGGAAGACCAAGGGUUCCUGUCCAACGUUAAUCGGGGCAGGGUGAGUCGACCCCUAAGGCGAGGCCGAAAGGCGUAGUCGAUGGGAAACAGGUUAAUAUUCCUGUACUCGGUGUUACUGCGAAGGGGGGACGGAGAAGGCUAGGCUAGCCGGGCGACGGUUGUCCCGGUUUAAGCGUGUAGGGGGGUGUUCCUGGUAAAUCCGGAACGCUAUCAACCCUGAGGCGUGAUGACGAUGCACUACGGUGCAGAAGUAGUUGAUGCCCUGCUUCCAGGAAAAGCCUCUAAGCAUCAGGUAACAUCAAAUCGUACCCCAAACCGACACAGGUGGUCAGGUAGAGAAUACCAAGGCGCUUGAGAGAACUCGGGUGAAGGAACUAGGCAAAAUGGUGCCGUAACUUCGGGAGAAGGCACGCUGGCGCGUAGGUGAAGAGACUUGCUCUCGGAGCUGAAGCCAGUCGCAGAUACCAGCUGGCUGCAACUGUUUAAUAAAAACACAGCACUGUGCAAACACGAAAGUGGACGUAUACGGUGUGACGCCUGCCCGGUGCCGGAAGGUUAAUUGAUGGGGUCAGCCGCAAGGCGAAGCUCUUGAUCGAAGCCCCGGUAAACGGCGGCCGUAACUAUAACGGUCCUAAGGUAGCGAAAUUCCUUGUCGGGUAAGUUCCGACCUGCACGAAUGGCGUA